rnacentral:sRNA from 1 species
GUCGAUACCUACCGGAAGCCUUGUUCAUUGCCGGUCCGCGCUGUCCCGCGGGCAACACUCGUCUCUUGCUGGAAAAGAAAUCUCCGCCGUGAGUUAACCAGCGGCCGCCGUGCGAUCGCAUCGCGGCCCACAGAUCAAACGCGAGUGGCUAGGGAGCCUAGCUGAGAUAUGACCGUAGCGCGCCGUGCAAGCGGUGCGGCUGCUAGUUCCGUAGGUGAACCUGCGGAAGGAUCAUUACCGAGUGAAAGGAGCCUCGUGCUCCUGAGGGCUUCGACCCUCUCCUCCUCGCCCUGUGUUCGUGUACCUCUGUUGUCUUGGCGAGCCACGGGGCCGAGCGCCCCGCCUUGACCCCCAGUUGCUACGGCGCCGGGGACGUUGAGAGCUCGUCGGGGGUCUUUGCAAGAACGCUUAUUAUUAGUGUCGUCCGAGUGUCUUUGGUAAACAACUGUGAAAACUUUCAACAACGGAUCUCUUGGUUCUGGCAUCGAUGAAGAACGCAGCGAAAUGCGAUAAGUAAUGUGAAUUGCAGAAUUCAGUGAAUCAUCGAAUCUUUGAACGCACAUUGCGCCCCCUGGUAUUCCGGGAGGCAUACCUGUUCGAGCGUCAUUGCACCCCUCAAGCCCUGCUUGGUGUUGGGCCUUUCGCCCCCCGCGGCGUGCCCGAAAGCCAGUGGCGGUCGGGUGGGCCUUCAAGCGUAGUAAAAACAGUCGUUUCGCUCAGGAGACCCGCCGCGGCCCGCCGGGAUCGUGCCCCAAUGCUCACGACGAUUGACCUCGGAUCAGGUAGGGAUACCCGCUGAACUUAAGCAUAUCAAUAAGCGGAGGAAAAGAAACCAA